UCUCUGGUAGUAUAUCGGAUAGUACACCCGCCUGUCACAGCUACUGUGCGCGGGAAAGCGGGGUUCGAUUCCCCGCCAGAGAG